rnacentral:lncRNA from 1 species
AGUCGCUUCUUCAGGAGCUGUUUGCAGCCUGAUGCUGCUCCAGCUGGUGAUGAUUUCCCUCAUGCCACGCAUUUUGGGGGCACUGGGAGGGUUUCUGCUCACGGAUGUGCUGCCUCUCUCUGCUCUGUGCCCAGCAAGACGCUUUGUUCUCUGAGCGAGAGGCGAGCGGAGCGUUUCGCUCAGCAGUGUGAGGGUGCUGGGAGGAUGGCAGGCAGGGAGGUGCUUUCCUGUCAGCUCUGCCAGCCUGAAGACCUGAUGCAAUAAGUCUCUGUGUGAGUAACCCUAAUUUAGGCAAAGGGGCUGGACUAAAGCCAGCAGGGCUGGAGGACUUGGUGGGCAAACACACCCUUUGGAGCUGGCCACCACAAGGAGGGUGGAACAGGAAACAGAGGUGAGUGGAGAGCCGAGCCUCGGUGGCAGAAACAUCUCUGAAGGGCUGGGUCCUUGCUGCUGACUCCCCAGAGUGUGAGCUGCUCUGUGGAAAGGAAUUGGGAGGAUCCUCAUGAACCUCGAGGACCAGGUUUGAACCUGCUGGCAGUACACCUGAACCUUGCUGGAAAAGCUGGAGUUGUGAGCACAGCCCAGGUGUGCUCAGUUCUGGUCCUGCUCCCCCGUCACCUGCAUCAGCCUCCUUGAGCCAGCCCAGCAGUCUCAGUGUGGUGCACGAAGAGCCUGGGAGGAACAACUUCUCCUGCUCCACUUGGUGGAAAGAGUUUCCCCCUGCCUUCAGUGGAAAGCCCAGCCUGGGGGGAGCAGCUGUAAAUCAGGGCUUGUUCUCCAGGAGCCCUCGGCGUGCUGAGAACAGAAUUCCAGGUUAAUUGAUGAAACAGCUACUCCUGUCUGGGUUCAGGGCUGCCAGCUCUCAUAAGGAACUCUUUAUGUGAGAACCUUGGCUGGUGUUCAGAGGCAGGGUGGGGGGAUAGAAGGAAAGGUAAAUUUUCUGGUGCAGUGGAGUCGCCUGGCAUUUGAAAUAGUGCUCCUGGCAGGAUGCAAAACCCACAAAACAGUGGGAAAAAAAAGAAUUGAACACUUCCCCACCCUUUCUGCCCCUGAAAUCUUACAGUUUGUCUCUUAAACCUCUGUAAAAUAUUUGUUGAAGGACCUGAGUCAUCACUUUUUGCUGCUUUGGCUGCUGGCUUUG